AAAGAGUAAGAAACUUUAGUGUGUGUACCUUUUGUAUCAGGGGAAGUUAAAAGUGCAAGUAAUAAAGGAUCGAUUUAAGCAGAGCUUCAUACAAAAUAGCUAUAGUUAAAUUUAUAGCUUUAAUAGAUUAUGUGGUGAAAAAUGUACGAUGCUUAUGGUAGCUAUUUGUUUUUUUAUUGAAGGGUAAGCUUUCAUUGACUUAAUUGUGUAAAAGGUAUAGGGAAGGUAUUUUGACUGUGCUAAGGUAGCAUAAUCAUUUGCUACUUAAUUGGUAGCUGGAAUGAAAGGUUAAACUAGUUUACUCAGUUUGUUGUGUUUUGUAAGAAAUUAAAGUCGAGGUAAGAAUUCUUUGAUCUGCUAGGGGACGAUAAGACCCUAGAAGCUUAACAAUAAGAGUAUUUAUUGGUUAUAAAAAUUAAUUUGUUUUACUGGGGCGGUAAAGGUAUAUGAACUAUUAGCGUAUUGAUAGAUCCUUAAAAUAAAGAUAAAACGGGAAAGUUACUCUAGGGGUAACAGUGCAAUAUUUUUGGAGAGAUCAUAUCGAUAAAAAUGUUUGCAACCUCGAUGUUGAAUUAAGAUGUCUACGUGAAGCAGUAGGUACGUGAGAGGGUUUGUUCAAC
rnacentral:rRNA from 1 species